GUCCUCCUACAACAUUGGUCAUUUCACUUGUAUAAAUAUGAAUAUCAUACAACCAUUUUGACAUUCAUUAGUUAUAUUUUUGCAUUAACCUUUUUUAAAUUUUGAUAGUUUUCAAAUGAUUAUGCUUGCCAAGCUGUCUCUAAUUACACAUGCAGUAAUUGUAACUGUUAUUUUUAUCAUCUAGCUCUUUGUUUGUAAAUAUGUGAUUGCACGAACUGACAAUUGAACUUUUUAUGAUUUUAUGGAAGUUGCAAUGUUAGCAGUUGUAGCACUGGGUAAUUCUUCAAUGGAUUUGCUAUGAUGUUUUGUCCUUAUUUUGGUGAUACAUCAGAAAAGUUUCACAUUCCUCUCUCUCUCUCUCCCUUUCUCUCUCCAUCAAUUUUUCUUCAACCAGCCAAGUCCCAUGCAAGGAUUUUUCAAGUGCCAGACAAAACAUCAAAUCUCAUUUCUGUCAACUGUUGUUUAUCAUUUGGUUGGUCCCAAGGUUUUGCACCUGAAAUGUUGAUGACAUACCUCUUUGGUUCUUUACAUUCAAAAUUUGCUCUUCUUGCUGUCCAUACUUGUGUAAGUUGGUUCCUUAUCUCCAGAGCCCAUGUUACAUCACAAUAAUUUUAAGGAUUUUCUGUAGUUGAAUUUUGAUCAACAUUUUGGAUUUUAUGGAGGUUUUUAUUACUGUUUUAACAAAGACAUCUUCACUUGGUUUUGAGAUUUGAUUUCAAGGUGAGUAAUGGUUUACUAGGGAAUAAUGGGAUAUGUGUUGGAAUUCUGGUGAGGACUUACACACACACACGGUAUUAAAAAAUAUACUAUUUUAAGUGGUGUAAUGUUUGAAGUUUGCAAAUGGUGUAGGGAUCACUGAGAAAACACCUGCUUUUGAAAAUCCAUUGAAGUAUUAGGGAGAUUUUGAAAUGCCUCUUGCAUGGAAAUUCCUUAUAACAGUCGGUGAAUUUUUCUGAGAUUUUAAAGGAUAAACCUAGUAGAAUCAUUUGUACUUCUCUUCUCAGGCAGCUAAACUACUAAACUAACAAUUAAAGGAUAACUAAAAUAUUUGGUGUUUCAAUAGGCGUGUAGGACUUUUUGUUGGAUCAUGCCAGACAUAUAUUUGUUUGAGAAAUUGCUAUUGUCAGAUCCCAAUAUUGAACUGCAUGUAUGCUUCUGGGGUUUCAUUUUUUUUCAUUUGUGGUGAAACAGGGCAAGUUCACUAAGAUUAUUCCAAUAUAUUCGUUGGAUAUUUUUUUUUAUUGAGUUCCAAUGCUUGAUUGCAUGCAUAUGGACUGCUGUUAUAUUGGUGGUCUCCUUGAAUUUAACUGAAUCUGCUUAGAUGAUAAUCGCCUUAUACAUUUUUGUUAUCCAAGUCUAGUUCUCCUGUACCCUCUUAUUUUUCUCUUCUUUUGAUUACUGCUCAAACUCAGGAUCACUAGUUCUUUGGCAUAGAGCAUUAUCGUUGAGCUACACCCCAGGGGGCUAUUUCUCUUUUACUUUUACUGGUUGGUGAAAGGCUAUGCUUCUAGUUAUUAUUUAUUUUCACAAUCAGUUGAUGUGUUAAACUCCUAUUAUGAUCUAUUAACCACCUAUUAUUAUCUGAUGUGCAGAUAAACCAUGUUUUGACCAGCCUACUUCCUAUGCAGGUUGACUGAGUUAGAGAUGAUUAAAUUAAUUGAUGACAAUGAUUAUAAAUUUGAUAAUCUCACACAUAUACUGUUACAAAUACAGACACCAUUACAAUUUAUAUUAUUCUAGUCAUAGUUUAUUAUAUUCUCAUCCAAAAGGUUUCGGCCUGUAAUGACUUGGUGCCACUAAUAAAAUUCUCUUAACAGCAUAGGAAACUUGGGUGGCAGUCUAGAAUAUCUAUAUACGAUUUACUGGGAUGUCAUGUCAGGUUUCUGAAGGUAGACCUAACCAAAAA